rnacentral:rRNA from 1 species
CCUACGGGAGGCAGCAGUGGGGAAUAUUUGGCAAUGGAGGAAACUCUGACCCAGCAACGCCGCGUGAAUGAUGAAGGCCUUCGGAUUGUAAAGUUCUUUUCUAAGGGAAGAAGAAAGUGACGGUACCUUAGGAAUAAGCCUCGGCUAACUACGUGCCAGCAGCCGGGGUAAUACGUAGGAGGCGAGCGUUAUCCGGAAUGACUGGGCGUAAAGGGGGUGUAGGUGGUUUGGCAGGUGAGUGGCGUAACUCCAAGGCUAAACCUUGGAACUAUUACUAAAACUGUUGGGCUUGAGUGCAGGAGGGGCAACCGGAAUUCCUAGUGUAGCGGUGGAAUGCGUAGAUAUUAGGAGGAACACCAGUGGCGAAGGCGGGUUGCUGGACUGUAACUGACACUGAGGCACGAAAGCGUGGGGAGCAAACAGGAUUAGAUACCCGGGUAGUC